CCAUGAGUGUUCGUCCUUGGUCUGCCUGCCUACUAGGUAGGAUUAGGAUCAUGGGCCCAACUAACGUGUGAAACACUCCACCUGGGGAGUACGGUCGCAAGACUGAAACUCAAAGGAAUUGACGGGGGCCUGCACAAGCGGUGGAGCAUGUGGUUUAAUUCGAUACAACGCGCAGAACCUUACCAACCCUUGACAUAUGAACAAGUGUGCCUGUCCCUAACGGGAUGGUGCAAAAAUUCAUACAGGUGUUGCAUGGCUGUCGUCAGCUCGUGUCGUGAGAUGUUGCCACAUGGUCGAGUCAUGAAUUGCCACGUGGCACCCCUCCAAUGGUUGGUGUAUGUAAAAUUUUGUAUGAAUCCACAAGAGUCGAACUCAUGACCUCUCCUUAGCCCAAAGGCCUCACACCUCCACGCUAGCCAACUUACCAUCAUAUGUUCCUUGUUAGUAUGAUGGUGUAGAUUAUAUUUAAGUUUAAAUGUUUCAUGAGGGCGCAAAAGUAAAGGGGCUAGGCCCUUGGCCCAACCCAGCCCCGCCCCUGGUUAUGUAUUACCCCCAUA
rnacentral:ncRNA from 1 species